GUCUACAGCCAUACAACCUUGAAGGUGCCUGAUCUCUCAUCUGAUCUCGGAAGCUAAGCAGGGUCAGGCCUGAUUAGUCCUUGGAUGGGAGACCCGGGUAUUCUCUGAGGAGUUAGGCA
rnacentral:rRNA from 1 species